GCGCGAAAACUUCACAAUGCGCGAAAGCGCGAUGAGGGGAUCCCAAGUGCUUGCACGUAAGUGUAAGCUGUUUUUCUGUCUAAAAAGCAGAGAGAGUAAGGGCUGGGUAAGACGGGUGCCAGCCGCCGCGGUAAUACCUGCAGCUCAAGUGGUGGCCGCUAUUAUUGGGCCUAAAACGUCCGUAGCCGGCUGAGUAAAUGCCUGGGUAAAUCGUGUGGCUUAACCAUACGAAUUCCGGGUAGACUGCUCAGCUUGGGACCGGAAGAAGUUAGAGGUACUCCUGGGGUAGGGGUGAAAUCCUGUAAUCCUGGGGGGACCACCAGUGGCGAAGGCGUCUAACUAGGACGGGUCUGACGGUGAGGGACGAAGCCCUGGGGCGCAAACCGGAUUAGAUACCCGGGUAGUCCAGGGUGUAAACGCUGCUUGCUUGAUGUUAGCUGGGCUCCGAGCUCGGCUAGUGUCGGAGAGAAGUUGUUAAGCAAGCUGCCUGGGAAGUACGGUCGCAAGACUGAAACUUAAAGGAAUUGGCGGGGGAGCAACG
rnacentral:rRNA from 1 species